UGCCGCGUCGCGAGUGCAAAGCAUCACGAAGGAAAUUGCGCUCUGCCACCGAGAGCAGCUUCGAGAAAAAGAUCCGGCUAACAAACGUAAUCCAGAAGAGAUUACGAACUAGAUCGUCCGCUGAUUCCCGACGCCGUUAGUUAGUGGAGACGACAAAAGUAAGCUCUGUUCAUCCGAUUGUCGAUCGCAGCAGUGCUCAUCGUGAACGAACGAUUACACGAGGCAGUCAGAUCGGCAUCCAAAAGAGCCGUUGACUUUUCGAAGACGAUACGGGUCGAAAAGUUUUUCGCUAAUUGCACUGGCCUCUUCUCACGAACAUAUUCUGGCAGUCGGUCUAGUGCAACAACGAAGAAGAUUUCGAUAGAUCCCGGAAAGGGGUUUUUAUUUGGAUCUUUUUAUCUGGACCUUUAUUGUUGGAAGCUUAUAUCUGGACCAUUAUUUCUGGAAUUCACCUUUUGGAAUCUUCACUUGGGAAUUUUCCAUUAGAUUUCCGAUUCGGAGCAUACAUCUUGAACGACGAUAGCGGGACCUUUGCUGCCGUACCGAGUGUUUGCUGUUGCGAUGCGAUCCUGGUCAAGACGGUCAUUUUGCAUCAAGAGUCGAUUCAGCAGCAUCGAAUUGCCACGACGACUUUGCAACCGAGAGCAAACGAAUUCAACAAGGGUGUCACGACACGGUUCCUGGGUGGAGUGGUGAGCGGAAUCCGUGUUAGUUUGAUUGCGCAGGCCAUUAUAUGGAAGAGUCACAGGAGAUUCGACAGUCACCACCAGGGAGUUGGUUUGGUGCUUACAGAAGAUCGACGGGAAUGUUGCCGACAGGGAACUAAAACCACGGGCCCGUGAGUAAUAAAUAAGUUGUGUAUUCAAGAUAAAUAGAUGUAAGUGAGAUAGAUUAGGAGUGAAUAAAG